rnacentral:tRNA from 1 species
GGGCGUUUAGCUCAGUUGGUUAGAGCAUCUGCCUUACAAGCAGAGGGUCGUAGGUUCGAGUCCUUCAACGCCCA